UGGGGAAUACUGGACAAUGGGGGAAACCCUGAUCCAGCAAUGCCGCGUGAGUGAAGAAGGCCUUAGGGUUGUAAAGCUCUUUCGCCCGCGAAGAUAAUGACGGUAGCGGGAGAAGAAGCCCCGGCUAACUCCGUGCCAGCAGCCGCGGUAAUACGGAGGGGGCUAGCGUUGUUCGGAAUUACUGGGCGUAAAGCGUACGUAGGCGGAUGCGCAAGUUGGGGGUGAAAUCCCGGGGCUUAACCUCGGAAUUGCCCUCAAAACUGCACGUCUUGAGACCGAGAGAGGUAAGGGGAAUUCCUAGUGUAGAGGUGAAAUUCGUAGAUAUUAGGAAGAACACCAGUGGCGAAGGCGCCUUACUGGCUCGGUACUGACGCUGAGGUACGAAAGCGUGGGGAGCAAACA
rnacentral:rRNA from 1 species